GGCCGUAGCUCAGUGGCAGAAUUUCUGCUUCGCAUGAAAAAGGUCCAAGGUUCGAUCCCUGGUAUCGUGA